CGUUACACAUCCGGUUAAUUUACGACUGUCAAGACUAUUUCCACUGAAGUUCGCCGUAACAUCUGCUAUGUUUGCUAUUCAAAGAAAGUGAAAGAAACUAAAGCCUUGAAUCGUAAAGGCACGGUGGUAUAACUUGGGUAAUUUACGGACAGUCUUGAGGAUUAAAAAUGUUCUCCUUGUCGAUGACCGUCCAACCACAGGUGACAGUUCCCCUUAGCCACCUCAUAAAUGUGAUUCACUCCCUGAAGAGCUCGGUGGUAACCAGCAGCACUGCCACUUGUAAAUCCAGAAAACCCAAGGAGCAUGUCGCAGACUCAGAGCCGCUGUACACAGAGCAAAUGUGGAACCUGAGGGAUCUUGGUUUGUCAGAUUUUGGGACACAACAGCUGGAUGAGCUGGUGAACCGUGUGUUUCCACACCUCAGUCCAAGGGAGGCAUCGCUGUCAUUAGGUAUCGAGGGUAAAACUGCUUGGAGGACCUCCCAUCUCUCAACACACUCCUUUAACUCUAACAAACAUGGCUUCUCAUGUGGACUCAUCCCUAUGUCAGCCACAGUGUUUUACAAGCAGCCACCAUCACCUCUUCAGUCUGUCUGUACAGAGCUACAACACUGGCCAAUGUGGGUCCAGAGCAGAGGCUUCAAAACAUUAAGGAGCAAAACCAGACGACUACAAUCAGGCUUUGACCGGCCAGUGGAAUCUGAAGGAUACACACCUUCUUUUAUGAAGGGUUUCCUGACACGGGACAAAGGGAUUGAUGUGGAGAGUCUUGACAGCCUGUUGAAGAACAAGAACAUACCUGAUGGACAGCAGGAUGCUUUCAAAAGAGGCUUUGCUGAAGGCUUCCUCAAAGCCCAAGCCCUAACACAGCGCACACAAGACUCUCUGAGGAGGACUCGACUCAUCCUACUGGUGCUGCUUCUCGUCGGGCUCUAUGGCAUCUCCAAGACCCCCUUUAUAUCGGUGCGGUUCCGAACCACAUCAGGCCUGGACUCUGCUGUGGAUCCUGUGCAGAUGAAAAACGUGACAUUCGAGCAUGUCAAAGGCGUGGAGGAAGCUAAGAAUGAGCUGCAGGAAGUGGUGGAGUUCCUGAAAAACCCACAGAAGUUCACGGCCCUGGGAGGAAAGCUGCCAAAAGGCGUCCUGCUUGUCGGCCCUCCUGGGACGGGAAAGACCCUCCUGGCCAGAGCCGUGGCCGGGGAGGCGGAUGUGCCGUUCUAUUACGCCUCGGGAUCAGAGUUUGAUGAGAUGUUUGUUGGAGUGGGAGCCAGCCGCAUUAGGAAUCUUUUCAGGGAGGCUAAAGCUAAUGCUCCGUGUGUGAUCUUCAUCGAUGAACUGGACAGUGUGGGUGGGAAAAGGAUCGAGUCUCCCAUGCACCCUUACUCCAGACAGACCAUCAACCAACUGCUUGCAGAAAUGGACGGCUUUAAACCUAAUGAAGGCGUGAUCAUCAUUGGAGCAACCAACUUCCCAGAGGCUUUGGAUAAUGCCCUGAUCCGCCCAGGGCGUUUUGACAUGCAGGUGACUGUCCCCAAACCAGAUGUGAAAGGACGUACAGAGAUUCUCAAUUGGUACCUUAAGAAGAUCAAAGUGGAUCCAGCUAUUGAGGCUAGUAUUAUUGCCCGCGGCACUGUGGGAUUCUCUGGCGCUGACCUGGAAAAUCUGGUUAACCAGGCAGCCCUGAAGGCAGCAGUCGAUGGCAAGGACAUGGUGACCAUGAAGGAGCUGGAGUUCGCUAAGGACAAAAUCCUGAUGGGUCCUGAAAGACGGAGCGCAGAAAUAGACAAGAAGAAUAAACUCAUCACAGCGUAUCAUGAAUCAGGCCAUGCCAUUGUUGCGUAUUACACCAAAGAUGCCAUGCCCAUUAACAAGGCUACCAUCAUGCCAAGGGGCCCCAGUCUGGGACAUGUGUCCAUGCUCCCAGAGAAUGAUCGCUGGAGUGAGACUCGCUCUCAGCUUCUGGCCCAGAUGGACGUCAGCAUGGGUGGACGCGUAGCGGAGGAGAUCAUCUUCGGCCACGAGUACAUCACAACUGGAGCAUCAAGUGACUUUGACAGUGCCACUAAGAUCGCUAAGCUGAUGGUGACCAGAUUUGGAAUGUGUGAAAAGUUGGGUGUGAUGACCUACAGUGACAUGACAGAGCAGAGUCCAGAGACCCAGGCGGCUGUGGAGCAUGAAGUCAGAGUUCUUCUAAAGGAAUCUUACGAACGUGCCAAAGCCCUCCUGAAAUCUCACGCCAAGGAGCACAAGAACCUGGCAGACGCUCUGCUCAUGUACGAGACUCUGGACGCCAAAGAGAUCCAGCUGGUCCUGGAAGGCAAGACCCUGGAGACCAGAUGAGACCAGCCAGGAGAGGAACAAUCUGGGGUUGGGUGGGAAAAGGAAAAAGGCGAUCAGAAAAGGAAAUCAGAAGUACCAGGAAAAAAAAAAAAAAAAUCCACUUGGAUGUCGACACUGUAGCUGUUUUGAAGAAUACCACAUCAGAGUAAUCAGGUCUGGUACGUAAUGAACUGCAGAGGAUUUACUGUAUGUGACUUAAGGUGAAGUCUGUUGCUCAGGUCACUUUUUCAGUUGGUCGGUGGAAGUCGCACAUGAAUGUAAAUAUUCACCCCAAACAUUCACACAAUCAUCUUCACCGGAUUCUCUUCAGCGGCAGUUGUAUUGAGUUGAGAUUUGCUUAGAUUCCAUUCCUGGCUAAAAUGACAGAAAGCGGCUAAAAUUAACCUUAAUCCCGACUCAUUUGUGUCUGUCGGCUUCCAGUGUUGUUAUUGAGUGUCUUUCCAGCUGAAUAUGUGUAAUCAAUUACAACGUCAUGUGUGUCCAUUUUCCUAUACCCACAUAUACAUAAAUUUCAUUUGAGCCGUGUUACUUUUUAUGGUGGCCUUUUGGGGGAAUGUAAUUAAGUGUAAUAUUUGUUCCUUUUUGGGGAAGGAAGUGUAAAGUUGAACAACUCUUCAGCACUUUGGGUAAGUGUGCGAAUUGAACAAGCACUUAUGCACUCUUAAUGUUAUAUAGUACAGUAUAUUUCAAUGCUGUGUGUACAGAUAUAAUAGAAAACUGCUGCUCAGACUCAAUAAGCAUGCAACAAAUGGAGUCUGUAUUUAUGUAGUGAUAGAGCAUUGGAGUCUUUAGGAUUUUUAAAGUUAGUUUUGUUGGCCUACUUCAUGGAAAUGGUGUGAGUCAGUCAAUGAAAAGCUCCAUUUUUGUUGUUAUUGCGAAUGAUUGGAUUAAGGAUUCUUUUCAUCUUUAGUUUCACAAACUACAAGACCAGUUCUAAUUCUUCUGUUCUUCAUAUUUUCUUGUUGCGUUGGUGCAGAGACCCACAUCUAAUGCUUCACAUUUUUUCUUGUAAUAAGCACAUUCUGCAGACUUUACAUGGACAAAGUCAUCAGGGUUGAGAGGUAAUAAUUUCAUCUUGACGCAGGAAAGGAGAAGAGUUAGAUGUUAACAUAAAAUUAAUCAGUUGGUAAAUGAGUCCAAAAAUGUUCUUCACAUUUCAUUUCUUUAACAGACAUUCUAGGUGGGCAUUUGCAAAAUUACACAUUUGUCACGACGAAUGUAUUGAUUUUCAAGUGAAUUGUUACAGCCAAAAAUUGUAUGUAAUAUUUAAGCAUUUUAGUACUUUCUUUAUUUUUCUUGGAAGUAAAAAGUGCGUUGUUUCCUUACUUUUAUCUAUUUUUCUCCAGCCUGUGCGGUUCAUUACCUUUUGUUUAGUUAUUCAUUUAAUGAACUGGGAGGCUUGUAUAUACAUGUGUAGUUUUGCUUUUAUGUUGUGUAUGUAUCGAAUGCUGUUCACUGACAAUAAAUGUCAGCAGUAUGAUUGAAACAAUUAAUUGUGCAGCUGAAAUAAAGACAAACAAUAUUGAAAAA